rnacentral:rRNA from 1 species
AUGGACCGCGCCGACGGGCCGCCGCCGCCACGCUCCGGCGACCGCGCGGCACAAGACCAGGAUGACACUGCCCAAAGUGCACAGGGGCAGAAUUCGCGACGGCCAAACCUUUCUUUGCAAAUACCAACAAGGACCUUGGAUAACCAUAUACCUACUUCAACGAGGAUUAAUAUAUCCGCCAGCCCCAGUUCGACAAGAGCCGGACUGCCACCAAGGCCUAACUCAGCUAGACCAAAGUCAUCUAUCAAGCAGCAGAGUUUCAGGUUAAGGAAUUCAGCACAGGAAGGUGACCGGACAAUCCUCCUACUUCCUGGGACGGCGUCGGAAGGGUCGCUGGAUAAUCCAACUCAACCAGGAUCUUUCUCUUUCAGAAAGGUCAUUAACUCAUUAUCGGCAAAACGUACCUAUUCUUUGCCAGUCACACCUGUUGGAACCUCUGAUAAAGCUUCUCCGGGAAUUCAGAUAGUCGACCACCCAACUACAUCUAAACAAGAAGUUCAAGCACAAAUUAGGCGAUCACUUUCAGUACCAGGAAAUCGUAAAAACAGGAGUUUGAGGAGAGCAGAUUCACUGGGUGUCAUCCGUGUGAUUCCAGCAACUCCGCGACCUGUUCCAGCUGAUACAGUUGUACCAACUGAUGUCAUUGAAGAAACAGCUGACGGUCCUGAAGAUGGAGGUGAAGAUAUUCCUGAAGAAGAGGCAGUCUGCAGAAUUUGUUUUGUUGAACUCAACGAAGGCGGAGAGACACUUAAAAUGGAGUGCAGCUGCAAAGGAGAGCUUGCCCUCGCGCACCAAGAUUGUGCUGUCAAAUGGUUUAGCAUCAAGGGUAACAAGAUAUGUGAUGUCUGCAGACAAGAAGUUAAGAAUCUGCCUGUGACUCUGAUGAGAAUUCCGACUCAAACCGUUACCAGGCGACUAGCAAACGGUGCUCAGCAAAGAGCAGCUCAACAGUACAGAUUUUGGCAGGACAUUCCAAUUUUAGUGAUGGUUAGCAUGCUUGCCUACUUCUGUUUCUUGGAACAACUUCUGGUUACUGAUUUGCAGUCACGUGCACUGGCAAUUUCAUUGCCUUUCUCAUGUGUGUUGGGCCUCCUUUCUUCCAUGAUAGCAUCCACUAUGGUGACCAAGAGCUACCUAUGGGCCUAUGCAUCCUUCCAGUUUGCUAUCGUGAUCCUGUUUGCUCAUAUCUUUUACAAUGUGCUAAAAGUGAAUGCAGUCCUUGCGGUCCUACUCUCAUCAUUCACCGGGUUCGGGAUCGCUAUCAGUACGAACUCACUGCUAGUGGAGGGCAUGAGGUGGAGAUCUAGGAGGAGCCAGCGGUUAGCUCAGACGCAGCCUCAGCCUGCGAACGAAGGGCAGCAUCCAGAGUCUGGGAGUAACGCCGUGAGCGAGAACAGCGGUGAUAGGCAGCAACAAGGGCAACCUCCACAAUCCGGUGUGCACAUCGUCUGA